rnacentral:RNase_P_RNA from 1 species
GGCAGGCUGGAUGGUCGCGUGCCUUUUCGGAAGGCAUGAGGAAAGUCCGGGCUCCACAGGGCAAGGGUGCCGGAUAACGUCCGGCGUAGGUAACUAUAGGGAAAGUGCAACAGAAACACACCGCCGAAACAGUACGGCUGUGGCAAGGGUGAAAUGGCGAGGUAAGAGCUCACCGGCGUCAUGGAGACAUGGCGGCCGUGUAAACCCCACCUGGAGCAAGACCAAACAGGGAGCAAGGCCUGUUGCCCGCAGGCCCCCGGAAGGUAGGUCGCUGGAGGCCGUCAGCAAUGGCGGUCCAAGAUAGAUGAUCAUCCUCGACAGAACCCGGCUUACAGGCUUGUC